rnacentral:rRNA from 1 species
UACAGAGGUCUCAAGCGUUGUUCGGAUUCAUUGGGCGUAAAGGGCUCGUAGGCGGUUUGUCGCGUCGGGAGUGAAAACACACAGCUUAACUGUGUGCUUGCUUCCGAUACGGGCAGACUAGAGGUAUGCAGGGGAGAACGGAAUUCCUGGUGUAGCGGUGAAAUGCGCAGAUAUCAGGAGGAACACCGGUGGCGAAGGCGGUUCUCUGGGCAUUACCUGACGCUGAGGAGCGAAAGUGUGGGGAGCGAACAGG